UACGUAGGGGGCAAGCGUUGUCCGGAUUUAUUGGGCGUAAAGAGCGUGUAGGCGGCCAUACAGGUCAGCUGUGAAAACUCGAGGCUCAACCUCGAGACGUCGGUUGAAACCGUAUGGCUAGAGUCCGGAAGAGGAGAGUGGAAUUCCCGGUGUAGCGGUGAAAUGCGCAGAUAUCAGGAGGAACACCGGUGGCGAAGGCGGGUCUCUGGGCAACAACGUGACGCUGAGGAGCGAAAGCGUGGGGAGCGAACAGG
rnacentral:rRNA from 1 species